CAGAUAUGUUCUUGCUAAUUCUGAGGCCUCAACCUUAAGGGGAAAAGUGACAUCACUCGAGGAGAAGUUGAGAGAAUCUGAAUCCCAGUUAGAGCUGGCAAAGACCUCUGUUGAAGCAAGCCAGGAGCAACAGAACUUUCUGCAUUCUGAACUCGACGAGCUGAAAAAUGUAAUUCAGGAUCUUAGAGAAAAUGUUUUAGGAGCAGAAAGCAG
rnacentral:misc_RNA from 1 species